rnacentral:rRNA from 1 species
UACGUAGGGUGCAAGCGUUUGUCCGGAAUUAUUGGGCGUAAAGAGCUCGUAGGCGGUCUGUCGCGUCGGCUGUGAAAACCCGGAGCUCAACUCCGGGCCUGCAGUCGAUACGGGCAAACUGGAGUGUUGCAGGGGAGACUGGAAUUCCUGGUGUAGCGGUGAAAUGCGCAGAUAUCAGGAGGAACACCGGUGGCGAAGGCGGGUCUCUGGGCAACAACUGACGCUGAGGAGCGAAAGCGUGGGGAGCGAACAGG